AUUGAACGUUGGCGGCAUGCCUUACACAUGCAAGUCGAACGGUAACGGGCCUUCGGGUGCCGACGAGUGGCGAACGGGUGAGUAAUACAUCGGAACGUGCCCGAUCGUGGGGGAUAACGAGGCGAAAGCUUUGCUAAUACCGCAUACGAUCUACGGAUGAAAGCAGGGGACCGCAAGGCCUUGCGCGGACGGAGCGGCCGAUGGCAGAUUAGGUAGUUGGUGGGAUAAAAGCUUACCAAGCCGACGAUCUGUAGCUGGUCUGAGAGGAUGAUCAGCCACACUGGGACUGAGACACGGCCCAGACUCCUACGGGAGGCAGCAGUGGGGAAUUUUGGACAAAGGGCGCAAGCCUGAUCCAGCCAUGCCGCGUGCAGGAUGAAGGCCUUCGGGUUGUAAACUGCUUUUGUACGGAACGAAAAGCCUUCUUUUAAUACAGGAGGGUCAUGACGGUACCGUAAGAAUAAGCACCGGCUAACUACGUG
rnacentral:rRNA from 1 species